ACCAGUUCCAUUAGAAAAACGAGCGUUAUACAUGAUCCAAGUAUCCAACCAGUUUCAGGGUUUCAGUGUUCAAAAUACAUCAGUUUUAUCUAUAUAUAAUCAAAUGAUCUGCUCGACUAUUAGAAUCACAGCCUCACAGAAUACAGAUACAUCUUAAAUCCUAAGCUUUCCAUAUCAGAGUUUUUGUUUGAUUUUAGAGUUUUAAUUUUAAUCUGCAUGUAGCACCCCGGGCUUCUCUGAAAAUACAAAUUGGAUGAAGAAGAAAGCCCCAAUGCUCGUGCUAAAUCAGAUAUACAGCCGUCAAGUGUUGCAGUUCAGCCUUUUUGUACCUUUUUCCAUGGCCGUUUCUGUGUCAAAUCGACGGCUACAGAUAAUCAAUCAAGUUCAUAGCUUUAUCAAUUUCAUAUGUUCUGCCUCACCACACCUUAAGCCUUCUUCCUUAAUUUCUAUUGGAAAGAGGUCUAGUCAUGGAGGCAUAUAGUUAACCCUAGGCGGCGUUAACGUGGAGAUUUUAAAUAAGACGAUGAUGAUAUAAUCCAAAUGUUGGAGGAAUAGGGGAUCCAAGACCUUGUUUUACAGGGAGAACCACUUGGUGAAGCUGUAUUUCAGAUGAUAUUACCGGAUUUAACUGAGGUGCUAUGUAUUUUUUAUGACCAAUCUUAUUAAUAUUUGAUUCAUUUAAUUCGAUAUGAUUUAUUGAGUUUUAACUAUACUCUUUGCCUUAAUAUUCAACGGUUUGGAGUCUGAAAAAACUCAUAGAGCAUUGUGUUGUCAUCAGCUUCUUCUUUCGUAACAUUAACGAGAUUGGAGUUAAAUAACAGCACUAGAUUUUUAGAAAAAAAUGUCUACUACGAUGCUACCUACAUCGUGGGUUUUGUUUUUAUUCUUUAAAUGGAAUUUGUGUGCUUUUUUGUUAUUUUGUUGAAUCAGCAGUCUCUUUAUUUUUAAAUAUGACUCUUGUUGAUCAUUAAUGGAAUUUGUUUUUAUAGCAAAAAAAUGUAGCAAAAUUUGAUAAGUAGAGAACGUGAAUCAAAAUCAGUUGGCAUGAGAGUGGUCUGAGAACAUUUGAUGUAGGAUACUGGAAGUGGAAUACAUGCUGCGAUGUGAAUGGAUGAAAGAAAUAACGUUAUUGCCAUUUGUUGAUAAAUGUUCUGCUGACAACUUUAUGUGGCGUAGUUUAGUUGCGCUACGUGUUAUCGUGUAUGUGUCAAGGAUAUAAGGUCAUGUGAGAUGCAAAAGUUCCAACAAUUUUGACAUGAAUAUUGUGAAGUAGGUUGAUGAAUAAUGAUACAAACAGGUAAUAUGUAAUGAAAAAAAAUCCCUGAUUACGUAAUGUGUCAUCUAAAAUGUUUAAACUUUGUGAUUGUUGAAUGUUUAUAAAAUGUCUAUGUCAAAACAUGAGUUUUAUUGAAAUUGUUUUAUAAUGGUUCUA